GGAUUUGGGCGUAAGGGCUCGCAGGCGGUUUCUUAAGUCUGAUGUGAAAGCCCCCGGCUCACCCGGGGAGGGUCAUUGGAAACUGGGAAACUUGAGUGCAGAAGAGGAGAGUGGAAUUCCACGUGUAGCGGUGAAAUGCGUAGAGAUGUGGAGGAACACCAGUGGCGAAGGCGACUCUCUGGUCUGUAACUGACGCUGAGGAGCGAAAGCGUGGGGAGCGAACAGGAUUAGAUACCCUGGUAGUCCACGCCGUAAACGAUGAGUGCUAAGUGUUAGGGGGUUUCCGCCCCUUAGUGCUGCAGCUAACGCAUUAAGCACUCCGCCUGGGGAGUACGGUCGCAAGACUGAAACUCAAAGGAAUUGACGG
rnacentral:rRNA from 1 species